UAAGACGAACCGUGCGAACGUUGUUCGGAAUCACUGGGCUUAAAGGGCGCGUAGGCGGCUUACAAAGUCAGGGGUGAAAUCUUGCGGCUUAACCGUAAUCAGCCUCUGAUACUGGUAGGCUCGAGGGAGGUAGGGGUAUGUGGAACUUCUGGUGGAGCGGUGAAAUGCGUUGAUAUCAGAAGGAACGCCGGUGGCGAAAGCGACGUACUGGACCUCUUCUGACGCUGAGGCGCGAAAGCUAGGGGAGCAAACGGGAUUAGAUACCCCGGUAGUCCUAGCCCUAAACGAUGGGUACUAGAUUGUGGACUUGACAUGGGUUCACAGUCGAAGCAAAAGUUUUAAGUACCCCGCCUGGGGAGUAUGGUCGCAAGGCUG
rnacentral:rRNA from 1 species